GCCUGGAUGGCUCAGUCGGUUAAGCAUCUGACUUCGGCUCAGGUCAAGAUCUCAUGGUCUUUGAGUUCGAGCCCCAAGUCGGGCU
rnacentral:tRNA from 1 species